AAUGAACGCUGGCGGCGUGGUUAAGACAUGCAAGUCGAACGGGAUAUUAGGUGUAGCAAUACAUCUGAUGUUCAGUGGCGAACGGGUGCGUAACACGUGAACAAUCUACCUUUAAGUGUGGAAUAGCUCGCCGAAAGGCGAAUUAAUACGCAUGUGGUGGCCUCUCUCCUGAGAGACCUACUAAAGUCGGGGACCGCAAGGCCUGACGCUUGAAGAGGAGUUCGCGGCCUAUCAG
rnacentral:rRNA from 1 species